rnacentral:lncRNA from 12 species
UUUGCCUAUGAGCCACAGCUGAAGGAAGCUGUGAUUCACGCUUUAGAGCCCACUCUCUUAGCUCCUGAGCAGAUAAAGGAUAAAGUUGAGGUUGUGAAGAAAGAGGAGGACAGAAUUCAUCAUUGGGGUAAGCAAGAAUGUUUUCUGUUUUCUCACGUUCUGUACCCUGACUAAAUUUUUUGCCCCCAGUUGAAGAAUACCAAAGCUAUGCUUUUCCCCUCAAGGGAAGGAAACAAUAGGAAAGGAAGGAGACUCAUAGACGAUAAGAAAUGAUCAUAAGGGGAAUAUGCUUAUUACAAAGAAGGAAUGAGUAAUAAUAAUGGUUGAAGAUAAGCAAUGCUGGUUACAGUAAGUAAGAAAUGGACAUUUGGUUAUUAUUAUGGCUAUUAACAUAAAAAAUCAUCAAUGGCUUAGGAUCAAAAGACUAAACAUCCUAGUUUGCCUAGAGUGAUCUCAGUUUGAACCUUUUUCUCUGUCAUAUAAUUCAAUUUAGCAUUUGUCAUGGAUUUUUGUUUGUCUUCCUAACGAAGUAAUAUUAUUACUAAUGAAAUAGGCCAGGAUGGAGUUAUGCAAUCUGCCCUUUAAACCGCAAUUGUCUGCCAUGGUUUCAAGUAGUAAAGUGUUAGAACCAUAGUGAAUGAACACAAUUCUAGAUAUAAUACAUUAUUAAAUCUGAGAGAGAGCCUGGAGAGCCUUUGCCUCUUUUCUCUGACAACAUCUGAGAAUUUGCAAAAGUGAAAAAUAAACUUGCCGUGUUAAGCUGCUUACA